UAAGGAAUAUUGGUCAAUGGACGCAAGUCUGAACCAGCCAUGCCGCGUGGAGGAUGAAGGCCCUCUGGGUUGUAAACUUCUUUUAUAUGGGACGAAACCCUCUCAUUCUUGAGAGAUUGACGGUACCAUAGGAAUAAGCACCGGCUAACUCCGUGCCAGCAGCCGCGGUAAUACGGAGGGUGCAAGCGUUAUCCGGAUUCACUGGGUUUAAAGGGUGCGUAGGAGGGCAGGUAAGUCAGUGGUGAAAUCCCCGAGCUUAACUUGGGAACUGCCGUUGAUACUAUCUGUCUUGAAUAUUGUGGAGGUGAGCGGAAUAUGUCAUGUAGCGGUGAAAUGCUUAGAUAUGACAUAGAACACCAAUUGCGAAGGCAGCUCGCUACACAAAUAUUGACUCUGAGGCACGAAAAGCGUGGGGAUCAAACAGGAUUAGAUACCCUGGUAGUCCACGCCCUAAACGAUGGAUACUCGACAUACGCGAUACACAGUGUGUGUCUGAGCGAAAGCAUUAAGUAUCCCACCUGGGAAGUACGACCGCAAGGUUGAAACUCAAA
rnacentral:rRNA from 1 species